AAAACUUGUUCUGUUAGUUAAAUCAAUAAAAUAUGGAGAAGUUGUGUUUUUUUCUCCUUCCUAUCAGGCAUUGGGUGUUCUGCAACUAUUUUGUGGGUUGGCCUUUUUUGGAUGCGAGAUCGUUCUCAAUGUCCAAAACAUAUACUGACUUUUUUUUUUUGCUCAACAACAAUUUUUCAUUAUCCAAAUGUGAAUACAGGAUUACAACCUCAAGAGAUUUUAAACCCAACAUACAACCGAUGGGAUCUAGUAACGCAUAGGAACACUGACUCGGAUCCUACACUACCCAAUCUAUUCAUCGGUGUAUUUUUCACCACAAUGAAACGAGUUCCUCCCACGACCCGAGAGAAACAGUCUCUUGAUUACCUAAUUAGACCACACGAUACGAAAACAGUGAUAAAACAAACAGACUAUGACCUAAACCGAAUUCUGAUUCAACGACCAAGCAAUUGGUCUCCUCAUGAUCAGAAUUCAGUCCAUGUACCAAUCACAUCAACACCAAAAGUGCAUUCCGACCUCGGCUCAUACUCUUCAUCAACCACUGUCUCGAUCCAUAGCCAAAAACCGGACAGUAUCAUCCGGAAUGAAAAGCGAACCUUAGCAACAGUUGUCGUUUCCGGUUUCUCUAAUCGCAGCUAUCUGGAGGUACGAAGCUCCAACCACCGGAUGACGCAGUCAAUACACCGGCGUAGGGAAGUAGAGCUCUGCCACGCUUCACCGGCCAAGACCAUUCCUCCGGUUGACUACGCCGUCAGCUUGAAUCUUGGAACGUGAUGUCCCCGAGAACCGGAGAACAAUCCUCCAUCCACAGCCUAUCAUACUGACUUUUCUAUUUUCUUGUUCUUGUUUUUAUUCAUCGCAAUUGCUUUUGUUUUGAGUAAAUAAAAAAAAUUGCUUUUGUUUGGCAUGCAUGCAUAGAUUAGUUGGAAAAAUCCAGCUUAAUACAAUUACAGAUAUUCCGACAUGACUAAACUACUGAUAUUAUUGCCAUGAUUUAAAUUAUAUAGUCUUCUAUACAACACCAAUUUUUUCAUCAGUGGAUUAUAAUUUCCACCUUUAUCAUGAUCAUUUUAUCUCUUUCUUUUAUCUAGUCACACUUUUGUGCUACAUAUCUUCAUGUUAUAUAUAUGUAUUUCCUUAAUUAAGAUCUCCUAAGUUUUUUGUUGGUAAAAAAGUUCUCCUAAGUUUUCAAAUCAUGUGAAUAGUUUUACACACUUGCAUUGUGUAUUCACAUAACUAAAAAAAUGAUGCGAAGAAAACACCCGUAUAAGUUAACUCAGUAUGAAAACACUAGUAAAAAUCUACCGCAUAGUCACGGUAGUGCCACUAUAAAACCGUGGCCAUAUAAAAAACGCCACGGUUUCGCUACGGACUAGCAACGAUUUCAAAUUAGCCACGGUAAAACUAAGUAGCCACAACAACAGCCACUAAGAUUUUCGUGACUAGGUAACAAACCACAGUAUUGCCACUAAUAUUUCCAUGUCUAUGUACAUAGCCACGGUAUAGCCACUGUUUCAACGUGGCUUUUAUAAAAUAGCCACAAUGUUGCCAUGAACUUUGCGUGGCUAUUUGAAACCCUAAUCCCUAAACAUAUUUUUAAACUCUAAACCCUAAACAUAAACAUUAAGACUACAAUAUUUUCAUAAUAAAACUUCAUUAUUAAAUUAAACGUCAAAUUUUAAUCAUUUUUUAUCUCAAAUAUUUAAGCUCCAUUUAAAAUCAUAAUCUUAACCUUAAACUAUACAUUCUUUAAUCCUAUGUUUUAAAAACAAAUUCCAAUUAUAACAUUUUAAACUUCAACUCUAAAUCUUAAAUAUAAAACUAUAAACUUAACUUUUCAAAACUAUUUGGCAAACCAUAUAUCAUAUAAACUCAAAUCCUAUAUCAUACUUCAAACCCUAAAUCUCAAACUCAAACCUUACAUACAACCAUAAACUCUUAAAUUUAAUCUUAACAUUUAAAUUUAAGCCUUAACAUUUAAACUCAAAUCCUAUAUCAUACUUCAAACCCUAAAUCUCAAACUCAAACCUUACAUACAACCAUAAACUCUUACAUUUAAUCUUAACAUUUAAAUUUAAGCCUUAGCAUUUAAACUCAAAUCCUAUUUCUCAAACUACAAAUUCUAUAUUAAAAUAUAAUAUUAAAUCAUUAAACAAUAUAUCUUAUAUUUAACCAUCAUUCCCUAUACAUUUUCUAAACAUUAAACGCUAGCCAUUUUUUUAUAAAAUAAAUUAUCAAAGUAUAUGAAGAAUUAUAGACUGUUUUUAAAAGUAUAAACUCUUUUAUAAAAAAAUUAUACACAUUAAUAAAAACUAAACAACAAUAGAAAUGGACAACAUAAAUAAAACACACAGAUUUUUUUAUUUCUUUAUUUUUUCUUUUCUCCUUACCUCUCUUUUCUCAACCAAUAAGAAGGAGUUGCGUGGAUUGAUAAUUUUAACCAUUAGAUUAAAAUUAUGAAGGGUCCAGAUUAAAAUCCUUUUGUGUUUCUUUCUUCUUCUUUUUUUCUCUUUUCCGCUCUCCUUCGUCUGAUCUUUCUUCUUUCAUUCUAUCUCUUUCUCUGUAACAAUCGACUCAUGUAUUCACCUCCUCACCAUCACCACCGAUCUGAGAAGGAGCAGUGAUGAACCUUCAAGGAGAAUGUGGGUGACGGAGACGACAGUGUGACGGUACAAGGUGAAUCUGACGAUGAAGGGAAGGAGAAGUGGUGGUGUGGGAAGAUGAUGAAACGGAAAAAAGAAGUGGUGGUAUGACAGUGUGGCGCCUCCGGUGAAGCGUAGUGCGGCGGUAGUGUAUUUGUAUGUAUAUACGUAUUUAUGUAUAUAUAUAACAAUAAUGUGUAUUUUUUGUUUUAGUAUUAAUUAAUAAAAAUUAUUUGUUUGUUUC